UCCGGGAGCUCCGCUGGCCUCGGGACCUCCCUAUUUAACCCCCUUCCUUACCGACAGCUCCCUCCCGGUGCCUCUUCGUUCCUCCGCGUUGAGCCCCGGCGGCUCAUCCGGUCUCGCCCAUUCCAUCGCAGGCCAUUACAGGAUGAGAACAGCUGUCCUGACUCUCAGAGAAGAGCCUGGAAUAUCUGCAGUGCAUAGUUGCAACCCCGAGAGAAGAGAAUACAAAGUAAUAAUAAAUUCAAGGCUGACCUCAGGAGUAUGCUAGAGCAGGUGGAAGAGGAAGGGAGAAGCCUGAGGAGACUUCUCUAAAAGUCUGACCAGCAGAUGAGCUGCUUCUGUACAGUCCUAUUGCUGUGUAUAAAAACGCUCGCUCGUGGUGACUUCUCCAGGGUCAAGCUGUUCAGGUGUGAACAGAAUCUUCCCUGGUGGGAGGAGGCUCUGGCCAUGCAGUUGUAAUGGCAGUAGCAGCAAUCACCAGACUUGUCCCUGUACUUUCAUGGCUUUGGUAACACCCUGGUCUGCCUGAGGAGAUGAAUCUUCACAAGCAUGAGGGCAGAAUACAUGUAAGAGUUAUGUCAGUCAACUACAGGAUGCUGAGUUCUGGCAAGUGAGCCAAGACUGCUGCUGAAGCCACCAACGUUGAGCUGAAGGCUGUUUUCACCAGGAAGCCUCAGAAUCUGAAGUUCAUUUGUGACAGAAAGCAAAUUGAAACUCCUUCCCCUUGGCACUCAUGGCUGCCUGUGCUGUGGACCUAUUUCUGCAGUUCAGCAGUGUGUUGGUUUUGCAUGGCCUGGUUCUUGGUAGCUGGGGGGCCACAGAGGUGGCUUCUGUGAGAAGCUGCUGGAAGCUUCCACCAUGUCCAGCAGAGCCAGUCCCUGAUGGCUCUGAGGAUGGACAUGCCACUGGCCAAGGGUGGGCCAGCUGGAGAUGUUGGUAAUGCCUCUGUGAUAACAGAUUUAAGAAGAAAAUCAGAACAAAGGGGGCCCACUGUUAGUUCCAGGCAGAGAAGAGGACGAAGUGAGAAUAUGUGAGGGAAACAACGUGGAGACACCAAGGUCAGCAGAGAAAGAGGGGCAGGAGGUUCUCCAGGCACCAGAGCUGAGAUUCCUCUGCAGCCGUGGUGAGACCACAG